UUGGAGGGCAAGUCUGGUGCCAGCAGCCGCGGUAAUUCCAGCUCCAAUAGCGUAUAUUAAAGUUGUUGCAGUUAAAAAGCUCGUAGUUGAAUUUCGGGAUCAGUAGGUUGGUCAUGCCUAUGGUAUGUACUGGCUUUACUGGUUCCUCCUUCUUGAUGAUCUGUAAUGUCAUUAAUUUGGUGCUGCAGGGAGUCAGGACUGUUACUUUGAAAAAAUUAGAGUGUUUAAAGCAGGC
rnacentral:rRNA from 1 species